CCCUUAGAUGUUCUGGGCUGCACGCGUGCUACACUGAUAUUGCCAAUAUGUCAUUCUUAUCCGAAAUGGAUUGGGUAAUCAAGUAAUGAAAUUUCAUGCUUGGAAUCGGUAAUUGCAAUUUUAUCGUGAACGAGGAAUUCCUAGUAAGCACUAGUCAUCAGCUAAUGUUGAUUAUGUCCCUGCCCUUUGUACACACCGCCCGUCGCUACUACUGAUUGGGUGUUCAAGUGAGAUGCUUAGACCCUUGUUGUAUGGUUCAUUAUUGUGCUCCGAAAGGAAAAAGUUUCAAGCUUGAGUGUCUAGAGGAAGUAAAAGUCGUAACA
rnacentral:rRNA from 1 species